GAUAUUUUGAUGUAUGGGACAUCUUUUGUUCAUCAUUGGGCACCACAAUGAUUAAUGUCAUAUUUUUUUAUCAACAGUGAGUGUUAUUGCCCAUUCCCCUACCAGUUUACUUAUAUUUUGACCAAAAUAUCAUUGCCAUUACCAAAAGUUGAAUUUUGUGAUUAAAAAUUAUGAGUUAGCUACACUAUUUGCUUGAACAUCAUAAAGAUCAUUAUACUGUUGAUAAAGUUGGGCACCCCCGACUCAUUCGCUCUAGCUUCGCCACUGCCUCGGGCGGAGCAGGUGCAGGUACAGAGGGACAAGAGCCGACGGCGGUGAAGAGGGUGUGCUGAGCCUUCGUCUUGGCAUGCUCCUUGUUGUAUUGUUCCUCCAGGAGCAAGUAUGAGCGUGCCGACACGAAGGUGUGCGGCGGCAACUUUGACGUGAUGGCGGGGAUGGCAUGGCGAUAGCGGGAGUUGAGACCGCGCAGCAUGUUCAGCACCUGGCUCGUCUCACGCACUGGCUAGUCACCCUAGGCACAAAAAACCGAGAACCGAACUGAAAAACCGAGAACCGAAUCGAAUUAAUCGAAACCGAGAAAAUUGGUUCCUAAUUCGGUCCCUGGUUUUCAAGAACUGAAAUAUUUCAUGUUUAUUCAGUUCUUGGGCUCGGUUAACCGAAGAACCGAAGUAUGCUUGAAGCCCAGUAAAUGAAAGAGGCCCAGCCCAACAAGCAACAACCCUAGCUAUAUAAGCUAACAUAUCCAGCAGGCAAGCACCACUCAAUCCACUCCUUCUCAUUCCACCAUAGCCUAGUCAGCCGCCGCCACCCUGCUGGCUUGCUGGACUGCCGCUUCUCUCUCCCUCCGUCCUUCCCUGUUCCGCCUGCUCUCCUCUGUCUCCUCAGGAUCCGGUGUCCAGCUCUCCCUUCUAUUUCCCAAGCGGUGGCGCAUUCCCUUGCCCUUCCUUGCAGGCUGCAGCACCACGGUGGCCACAGUAGGAGUGCCCGGUGGCGUCGGCUCCCUGGUGGCCUCCCAUCGCUCGCGCGUGGUCUGCAUCCCAGGUUCCGACGGUGUUGCACAGGCUCCAUCAGAGGCGGAUUGUGUUGCGGCGAUUUUUUUGUUCUUUUUCGUUGGAUGUUGCCAUCGAUCUAUGUAUUUUGGUUCUCAAUUUGACUUUUUAUUCUUGUAAUUCGUUAGUGUUGGAUUUGAGGUCGGUUCAUUCGGUUUAUAACCAAACCAAACCAAGAAGAACUGAAAUCGAAAUGCUCGGUUCUCACAAAUUUUAGGAACCGAACAGUUCUUGUUUUUGGAGAACCGAAUUUUGCAGGGGACCGAGGAACCUACACUACUACAGAUAUGAUCAUUGCAAACGGCUCAUCACCGCCGGUUUGAAACAACCCGACGGUGAUAGUAUAUCAGCGCCGGUUCUAAAUUAACCCGACGGUGAUAGUCACUCAUCACCAACGGGUCGUAUUACGAAUCAGCGGUGAUAGGUUUUCAAACAUCACCACCGGGUCUUAAUACGAACCAGCGGUGAUAGUUAGACAUUACCGCCGGAUCAUAUUACGACCCGGCAAUGAUGCCAAUUUUUUUUCAUAUCUGGUUUCUCUCCGUCUCCUGUCUGUCUCCCCCUUCCACAUCUUCCAUCUCCCUCCCUCUCCCGUCUUUUGUCUUCCCUCCCCUCCCCUCCCCGUCUCUUCCUUCUUCCUCCACGGGGCCCCUCCUCUCCCCGCGUCUCCUCCAGUGCCGCGCGGCGCACGGAUCCCCUCCCCUCCAUGACUCUCCUCCCGUGCUGUGUGGGGGUGUGGACGCGGCGGCGCGGCGCAGCUAGCGUGGCGGCGGCGGGGAGCAGCAACCGGCUAGGCGCGGUGCUGCACGGAGUGGUGGCGCUGCAUGCGGUUCAAAAAUGAGAAGGUCACGCUAGCUUGUUCCCCUCCCUUCUCUUAGAGUUUUUUGUUUGAUGCUGCAGGUUGCUAGCUGCAAAUGCAUUUGUGUAAUUGAGGGGUUGGGCGUUGGGUAUUUUGCUCGAAAUGCCCCGCUGAAUGAUAAUUGAGGAGCUGCGUGGUGCUGAAUUGCUGAUUGGUAGUCACUAGUCAGUUCGGGAGGGUAGUUCCGCGGUGUAGUUUUGAGCCGUCCUAGUUUCAGACUGUUCGACGUCUGAUAGAAUUAUACUUUGUUCAGCUACAUCUUUUGGUCGCGUGGGCAUUGCUGUCUAUUGUCUCAAGUCUCAACUGUGAAUGAUUGCAACAGUCUGCCAAGGAGACCUACCAUUUUUAAUGAUUUAGGGGUAUCAAUCUCAUCAGCUCAUGCAGACUGCCGCAGCUUUUAAGGCGGCUUUUACUUUACUAUCAUGCACAAUUAGCACCAUUUAGUGUCCAAUAUGUGUUAUAUCUUUUACUAAAAUAUUUUUCAGGUAGGUAACAUUGGUGGGAAAGAAUUUUCUGAGUCACUAGCCCCAGAUGUCCAGAAACUUCUUAUUUCAAGUAGCGGCCGUCCUGUUGUCAGAAAGAAGGCUGCUCUAUGCCUUCUGCGGCUUUAUAGAAAGAAUCCUGAUGUUGUGAAUAUUGAUGUCUGGUAGUAAUAUUAUAGAAUAUAGAAGUACUACAUAAUACUCUACCGAAUAUAAUAUGAUAAUUGGAUUCUGCAUAUCAGGGCUGAUCGAAUGGCACAACUUCUAGAUGAGCGCUACCUAGGUGUGCUGACAUCUGUCAUGACUCAUGACCCUUUUUGUUUCAUUAGUAUCCAACAAUGCGGAAGCAUAUUGGAAUUGCCUUCCAGAAUGUGUAAGAAUUAAUACUGGAGAGGCUAGCAAGAAAUCAAGAUAUUCCACAGGAAUACACUUACUACGGAAUCCCAUCUCCUUAGCUUCAGGGAUGAUGUGGCUCUGGAAAUCCUCCAACAUGAUCCCUUCGUGGUAAAAUAGUUGCAGUUCUCUCAGAUUUGCAUUUUAUUCUUCGGCUAAGGUUGUUGUGUAUGUAUUUCCAUCUUUUUACAAAUCUGAUUGUCUCAUGUCUUGUUGACAUUUUGCAUGCUCUUCUGAAUUUUGAAGUCAUGUAUGUUCUGUCCAAUUUCCAUGUAAUAAGUCACAUUGUUAAUAUAUAGGAUCAUAUCAAGUGCCCAGCCAGAGAGUAAUGGGCAGCUUGUUAAGUUUGCUACAGAGAGAGGCUCAAAAACUAGGCUUGAUGUAUGAACUCUUUGUUUUAAUCUUGAUGUAUGAACCCUUUCGUUUAAUCUCGAUGUAUGAGCUCAUGUGAUUGAAUUCUGCUGCUAUAAUGAUAUAUUAUAUAUGUUGUACAAA